rnacentral:rRNA from 1 species
GACGAACGCUGGCGGCGUGCUUAACACAUGCAAGUCGAACGGAAAGGCCCUGCUUUUGUGGGGUGCUCGAGUGGCGAACGGGUGAGUAACACGUGAGUAACCUGCCCUUGACUUUGGGAUAACUUCAGGAAACUGGGGCUAAUACCGGAUAGGAGCUCCUGCUGCAUGGUGGGGGUUGGAAAGUUUCGGCGGUUGGGGAUGGACUCGCGGCUUAUCAGCUUGUUGGUGGGGUAGUGGCUUACCAAGGCUUUGACGGGUAGCCGGCCUGAGAGGGUGACCGGCCACAUUGGGACUGAGAUACGGCCCAGACUCCUACGGGAGGCAGCAGUGGGGAAUAUUGCACAAUGGGCGGAAGCCUGAUGCAGCAACGCCGCGUGCGGGAUGACGGCCUUCGGGUUGUAAACCGCUUUCGCCUGUGACGAAGCGUGAGUGACGGUAAUGGGUAAAGAAGCACCGGCUAACUACGUGCCAGCAGCCGCGGUGAUACGUAGGGUGCGAGCGUUGUCCGGAUUUAUUGGGCGUAAAGGGCUCGUAGGUGGUUGAUCGCGUCGGAAGUGUAAUCUUGGGGCUUAACCCUGAGCGUGCUUUCGAUACGGGUCGACUUGAGGAAGGUAGGGGAGAAUGGAAUUCCUGGUGGAGCGGUGGAAUGCGCAGAUAUCAGAAGGAACACCAGUGGCGAAGGCGGUUCUCUGGGCCUUUCCUGACGCUGAGGAGCGAAAGCGUGGGGAGCGAACAGGCUUAGAUACCCUGGUAGUCCACGCUGUAAACGGUGGGUACUAGGUGUGGGGUCCAUUCCACGGGUUCCGUGCCGUAGCUAACGCUUUAAGUACCCCGCCUGGGGAGUACGGCCGCAAGGCUAAAACUCAAAGGAAUUGACGGGGCCCCGCACAAGCGGCGGAGCAUGCGGAUUAAUUCGAUGCAACGCGUAGAACCUUACCUGGGUUUGACAUGGAUCGGGAGUGCUCAGAGAUGGGUGUGCCUCUUUUGGGGUCGGUUCACAGGUGGUGCAUGGCUGUCGUCAGCUCGUGUCGUGAGAUGUUGGGUUAAGUCCCGCAACGAGCGCAACCCUUGUUCACUGUUGCCAGCACGUUAUGGUGGGGACUCAGUGGAGACCGCCGGGGUCAACUCGGAGGAAGGUGGGGAUGACGUCAAGUCAUCAUGCCCCUUAUGUCCAGGGCUUCACGCAUGCUACAAUGGCUGGUACAGAGAGUGGCGAGCCUGUGAGGGUGAGCGAAUCUCGGAAAGCCGGUCUCAGUUCGGAUUGGGGUCUGCAACUCGACCUCAUGAAGUCGGAGUCGCUAGUAAUCGCAGAUCAGCAACGCUGCGGUGAAUACGUUCCCGGGGCU